ensembl:lncRNA
CUGUCAUUUUCCACAUUCCCAGCUGCAGGAUUGUUUAGUCUUGUUGUUGAGUUUCCCUGCUGUGAUAAGGAGCAGGGUAAACACGACCGGUGGGACCCGAUCGGGCUGCACUCACACUGGGCUGACAGCCGGCCGAGAACGCAGGCUGUGGGCCUCUCAACAACCACACGCAGGUCAGGAAACAUCUGGGUGACUGAAAGCAACAGAUGCCGUAGCCCGAUAAGGGAAGCACUCUCCACCCCACUGAACCGGCCUCUCACACGUCCAGUACAAGCAGGACCAGGCCUCCAGCUUAUCGAGAUUUGGGAAAAAGUAACAAGAAAGAGUGGACAGUCUUUGCCUAGUAGCUCUUUACAGCCAAGGUCGUGAUCCCCGGGCCUGUUAAAGACCCCCCUGGGGUUGAGGCUGCAACUGGAUAUUUAAAAUAACAGUGCGAGGGUCCUGCUGGAGCCCUGCGCUGCGUGAGGAGGGAGCAGGAGAGGUUAGGGGUCAAGACACUGGCCAACAUACAUCAGCAAGUGCCAGUGCAGAGCCAAUGACUCUAUCAAUGAAAGACAAAGAGAAGAAAUCCAGAGCAAAUGAGUACAAGAACAAUAAAACAAGCUGUUUAAAACACAACUAGAGUCCAGAUUUGGAAAGAUCUUCCAGGAUGACUCUGUGUGUACUGUGCAAAAUCAGGUCUAGAGGAGAAACGACCUGAGCAGGCAUGGCAGUAAAUAUGGAGCCCUUCUCGGUUCACACUCCUCCUCAUCAUCCAUACACAGACCUGACCCUCGGACUCUAACUCAUGUGUGCAGCUUGGGGCUCAUACUCCCCGAGCGAGGAACAGGGGUGAUGGGGAGUUACUAUCCACCUUAAGGUGAAAGCCAUAUGUGCUGAUCUGUACGAUCUGAGGUCAUCUCACACAGGGCAGUAAGUUACAGUUCCCCUCAUGUCUGGUAACUCGGGAAGCACUUGGGAAGACACUAUUGCACCGCUGCAAAGAUGCAAUGAUAAACCUGAUCAGGAUUUCCAUCAGUUAUUUGUUUUUGCUGUAAAAAUGUGAUCAUUUUUACGUUUAAAUGUUGCCAAUUCAUCCCUAUUGUACAUUUCAGCAUCUAGCCGAACUAAGAAAAAAAAAAAAAAAGGGUUUGUGUUUGUAAAAGUUACAUAUUAAUACCUACAUAGCUAUGGCAUAUAGCAACAAUUAGUUAUCCACACCACUCACACAGCCACAAGCUACAACAUAACUUUAAACCAUCACUUUUACCCAAAAUAUGAAUCCAUAAUUCUCCAUUGAAAAAGUUGUCUCGUCUGAAUCAGGAGAGAAAUCUGCACAGAUCAAGCACCAUUUAAAUGGCAAAAUAGUCCAAAACAGCUCUAAACAAAUAUUUUGACGUGAGAGACAACAGGAGAUGGACUUUUUCCUUGGACAAAGCGUAAUUAUUUUUUAUUUUUAUUAAGUUUAAACAUCUUAACGAUGGAUUUUUUUUUUUUUUUUUUACAAACAUGCAGUUUUUGUCUUCUCCAGAUGUGAACUGAUGGACUGGAGUGCUGUGGAUUAUUGUGAUGUUUUUAUCCGCUGUUUGGACUCUCAUUCUGACGGCACCCAUUCACUGCAGAGCAUCCAUUGCUGAUGCAAUGCUACAUUUCUCCAAAUCUGUUUCAAAAAAACAAACUAAAUCAUCUACAUCUUAGAGACCUGAGAGUGAGUACUUUUUCAUUUGUGAGAUUUUCAUUUUUGGGUGAAAUUUUCCUUUUAGCUAUUUUUGUAUUUGUUUAUUUAGUUAGUUAGUUAGUUUACAUAUAUAUUUACGAGAAAAAGCUUAAGCUGAUACCCCAAACCAGCCAAUACAUCAGUCUGGCCAAGCUAGGAGACUUUUAUUUUAUUAUUAUUAUUAUUUAUUUUAUUUUUUUUUCAAAGUCAAAAGGUUUUAAGUUCAUAAGGAACACUGAGUUAAUUGAGUCUAAAUGUUUGACCGUGCACUUCAGCAAAGGUAGUCUUUAACCUUUAAUCUUACGUGUUAUGUAAUAUUCUCUUUAAUACAACGUGAGCUCUUCAACAGCUCGAAAACUAGAUUGAUCUGAGGCCAAUAGUGGUUAGUGCAAAACACCCUGUAUGUGCUGUCUGCAGUGGAAAGUAAAAGGUCAGGGCUGGCGGCAGUUUGCUGACUGCUCGCGAUUCGAAAACAGACAAUGUGUGGAAACGAGCGUCGAGAGGAGAGACCGCAUUAAGCAGGGAGGUGCAAGUGUGACUAUACGCAUGUGUUAUCAAUGUUUGUGAUGAAUAAAAUCUGCACGAGUGAGAGACGGCAAAGGUGAGGUUGAAGGAAAAUGACAUUUUUGUGUGGAAGAACAGAAAGAAGAACAAUGCAGCUCACACCUUCACAGAAAGUGAUAAACAAAUCCACAGAUCCCCAGGGUGUGUGCAGCGAGGGGAACCGCACGGUCCUCAUGUUCUCCCACUGCACAUUAGCAUAUUUAUAGACCCUUUGAAAACCCAAAGGCACCAAAAGCACCACAUCAGUGG